AGCAACUUUUAAUCUGUCGUUGAUGGUGGGACAUCACCAGCAGGGUCGUACAGGUGAAGAGAAGGCCGAGGGACCUUCCCACGGGUGAUGAGAUGGGUCCAAAGUCCUGGGGCCACAUGUGGCUUUGGAUGCUGGCCAUUACUACGUGUCAGGCAACAAGCACUCACUGAGCGCCCACCGCUUACCGGUCCCUGGUGACACACGGGAAGAAAUAUUUUGCUCCUGGGAAUGGAGAAUCAGCAUGACCUGCCACAGAGAUUGAUCGUGAAAAUUAAUAGCCACCCCCCCACAAAAAAGUUCACAAGUUCUGGUUCAAUGCUGUUGUCCACCAAAGGGCUGAGUGAAGACCUGCCCUGUCUGGUUAAAGAAGGAAAACUAGAGUCAAAGAGACGUCUUCUCCUUGAUGGAAUCCCUGGCGGCCAGUGGUUAGGACUCAGUGCUUUCACUGCCAUGGACCUGGGUUCGAUCCCUGGUCAGGGAACUAAGUUCCCACAAGCCAUGUGGCGUGCCCCCGCCCCACCCCCCCAAAAAGGAACAAAAACAACAGAGUGUGACAGCCAUAAAAUGGAAUAUUACUCAGCAAUGAAAAGGAACAAAAGGAACAACAUACUACAUGUACAACACCAUGGAUGAUUCACAAAACCUUAUGCUGAGUGAAAGACGCCAGACACAAAGAGUGCAUACUGCCUGUGACAUUGUGACUUAUAAAAAAUACAGCUUUAAAAAAAAAAAGAAAAAGGAAAACUAGAGUCGAAGAGGUAUCUUUCCCUUGAUGGAAUCACAAGAGCUGAAAGACCAUUGAAAAGGGAACCACUUUGUCAUUGAGUGAUUUAAUGUCAUUUAAUGUCGUAACCAGCAGCACCUAAAAUCACUCUAGCAUCGUGAAGAAAACAGCCUUACGGAGGGCCCUGCCUUCCACGGAUUCCAAUUCUCUCUCAGGUGGUCCCCAUGUGCCCUUCAGUCCUUCCCACCAUCCCCCAGCCUACUCAGGUGGGCCCAGCCUGUCCCAGACCUAGAAGCCUCGCUUAGCCCCAGGGGCCCUGGCCCCCAGCAACCUGCUCUAGAUCUAUAGGAAUUUCACCAGUGGAAGUUUCUUAGGAGCAAGAAACUAGGACAGGACUGGACACUGAAUUAAAACCUGGGGAAGCAGAGAAACUGGAGCCCUCAUCCACUGCUGCUGGGAGUGUAAAACGGUGCACCCACUUUGCGAAACAGUCUGGCCAGUCCUCAAACGAUUAAACACAGAGUUAUCAUAGGAGUCAGCAAUUCCACUCCUGGGUAAAUAUCCAAGAGAAAUGAAAACACUAGCACAGAGAACUAUACUAUCUUGUAAUAACCUAUAAUGGAAAAGAAUCUAAAAAAUAAUAUAUAUAUGUACAUAUAUUUAUAUACACAAUAACUGAAUCACUUUGCUAUAACACCUG